CGUCGGGGUAGCCGUGUCGUCGGUUUGUUUGGUGCUGGAGAGAGUUGUGGGCCUGACUCGUGCGUUGUGCUCUGCCCGACUCCUGCGCCAUGCCGCGUCUCGUCUACGACAGCAGGAGCGUGCGCCCUCUCUCAUCCUCGCUCCUCCCUUCCUGGUCAACACAGCCGCUGCGCCACCUCCGUCCUCCGGUCCUCCCUUCCCCCCUGCAGCCCCAGCUCACGAGGAAGCCGCGGGAGGAGCAGCUCAACCAGGCGUCGCCGGCCGGAGAAGGAGGAGAGGCGCGGAUGCCAGCCAGGGAGGCGGAUCGGCUCGCCUCCGCCUCUGCAUCCACCUUGCUGCUCAUGGCAGCAUGUGUGCGGAAGCGGGGACAGGCGACCACGAGCAGAUGUCAUCGGCGGACGCACGGUGCGCGAAGUCCGGUAAGAUGGGCGCGGCCUCCCCGCAGGCGUUUCAAGAUGCCGUGCCCGACGGCUCGGAAUGCGCGUGCCUGGCACAUAGGAGGUAUGCCUCAGAGCAAGCUGGCGGCAACGUGCACCGCGAGGCCCCAGAGCAGCCCAACCAGUACAUAGCCCCUCCGUACUGGAGGAACCCUGCCGCCGACGCAGCCAGCGACGGCGACGCGUAUGAGAGCUCGGCCUUGGUGGCCCGCGAGCCGUACGGGAGGAUCACGUCCGCGCUCGAGGGCAGCAACAAGCGCAGCACGAGGAGGUGCGCCUGGUCUGCAACGACGCAAGGUGUACGUGUCUGCAUAGCAGCAUAUGUGCGGCGGCGGGGUCAGGCAACCACACGCAGAUUUUGGGGAGCGGCACAACCAUCAAGCAACGGCUGAUGCCAAGGAACCUUAUCACAACAGAUCAUUGGCAUUGCAGCUUUAGGGACAUGUAUGCUUUAUAUCCCAUCACUGAACAACAUUGGAUUUUAGUGAAUACAAGCCAUCCUCCUCGCUGCCCUCCUCAGCUACUCAGGUGAAUGCAGUGGACUAUUCAAGAUCGAGGGCACCAACGGCAUAUGCUGAGGGCGUCCAUCAACAACCCGCCCAAUGUCCGGAUUCACCGAGGAGUACAACCGGAGACACUGUCGGCUGCCUGCAGGCGCCAAGCCCCCCGACACCGAGCCGUCUGUUCUUCUCUCUGCCCGAAGAAGGAUUAUGGUUCUCCACCUCUCUGCUACUCAUAUUAAAAUUCCGGUAUGUUCUUUCUUUCUUUAUUUUCUGUCAACAAAAAGGUGAAACCUGUUCUUAAUUUUCCAUAAUGAUUUUGAUGGCAAUUUGUCAGUGUAUUUCUAGCUGGAAUUGCACGUAUAUCUUACAAAUUUACAUUGCAACAAAUUAAGAAGGAGAAUAGAAGUAUUUGCAGCCAUCUAACAUAUGGUAUUUUUCAAAAAGCUCAAGGUUAGAGAUGUGGCGCUGUAUGAGGCUAUCAUUACGAUGGAAGAUAAAUUAUUGUUAAAAUAUUGUUUGAAUUUCCUUCAUUCUGUAAACGGCAAUACAAGCUAUGUUUGCACCAUGAUUCUAUUCCAAUUUUUUUUAACAACUAGCAAUUAACGACACAUCAAAUGUCCUGUAUUCAAAUGGAUCAUUUUGUCUGGUUGGGUUUAGUAGGUCAUAAUGGUUUUAUUGUACAGCAGGAUUAAUUUUGUUUAUACUGUAACCAGUUCAAGGAUUGAUAAGUUUUCUCCCUAUGAUCUUUGCACACAAAGGUUCGGAUGUGUUCUUUUUGAAAUAUACGUCCGGCAAGUCUCAUGUGUCUUGCAUUGUUUUCGCUUUCCAAGCUACAGGUUUGGAUAUUCUUUGAACAAGAUUCUUUAUAUGUUGUUCGAUUCCUCUUGACCACAAGGGGAAUGCUUACUGUGGCAAUACGCACUUCUAUGCUUACUGAUUGGCAUUUUUAUUAGCAUGGAGAAUAACUUUUAGUUCACUAAGAUUAGUUUAUGUUCACAUUGCUCUAUAUAUAAAAAAAGGAUUGUUGUGCUGAAAAGGUAUAUGACAUUCUGGCAAAACGUUGUUUAGUAAAAAGGUAUGUAGAGGUGAACUUUAGAAGUGAAAUGGUGUGGAUGUUCUGACAGGGAGAUGCUUGGACUAACUUUAGCGUCACACAUGACUUUUUGUUUUCCUCCGAAUGUAUGUUCUACUAAUUGUCAGCGCCUGAAUUUUUGUUUUCCUCCCAAUGUCAUGUGAUAAUUACUGCACUAUAAAUCACAUGCUUGCAAGUCAUUGUUGUGUCGUCUCUCUCUCUCUCUAACCGCACCCUCCCCCUUCCCAUCAUCUUGGCUUGCAGGUUGCUGGCGUGUCUCCCACGAGUCCACGACAUAACGUGUAAUCUAGGUUGUUGGCAAGUUAACUUAGGAUUGGCAACCUAUAGUGUAUUAGUGUGGCAAGCGCAUGGGAAGGUAAAACACCAUCAUGUUGUUUGAGGUGCAUGCAUCGGUUGUAGCGAAGAUGUGCGUAUGACGAUGUAUUGCUGACCAUGGAGCACUCAAGGCUUCAAGAUAUCUACCGCAACUUAGAGGCUUGACACAUUGCCACUUGCUCCUACCACCAUGCAAAUGGUCGAUGCUUUAGUGUUGAACUAUUUCUUUAAUCUAUGUGAUGGUGCAACUUACCAUUAGUACUUGUCAUGUGGAUUUCAAUAGAAAUGAUGUUUUAGGCAUGUUUGAUGGUUAUAAAACAAAUGCCAUAGGUGAUAGCUAUUGCUAUUAUGGAGUUUGGAACUAUUGUUCAAGUGAUAUUCAAUGUUUGAUGCUCCUUCAUUAUUUUUAUUAUACA